CACGUAGGGGGCGAGCGUUGUCCGGAUUUAUUGGGCGUAAAGAGCUCGUAGGCGGCUCAGUAAGUCGGGUGUGAAAACUCCAGGCUCAACCUGGAGACGCCACCUGAUACUGCUGUGGCUAGAGUCCGGUAGGGGAGCAUGGAAUUCCUGGUGUAGCGGUGAAAUGCGCAGAUAUCAGGAGGAACACCAAUGGCGAAGGCAGCACUCUGGGACGGUACUGACGCUGAGACGCGAAAGCGUGGGGAGCAAACAGG
rnacentral:rRNA from 1 species